CCUACGGGAGGCAGCAGUGAGGAAUAUUGGUCAAUGGCCGUAAGGCUGAACCAGCCAAGUCGCGUGAAGGAAGAAGGAUCUAUGGUUGGAAACUUCUUUUAUUGGGGAAUAAAAGUAUUCACGGGUUGAUAUUUGCAUUUUCCCUAUGAAUAAGCAUUCGCUAACUCCGGUCCAGCAGCCGCGGUAAUACGGAGGAUUCGGGCGUUAUCCGGAUUUUUUGGGUUUAAAGGGUGCGUAGGUUGUUUUUUAAGUCAGCGGUGAAAGUUUGUGGCUCAACCAUAAAAUUGCCGUUGAAACUGGAAGACUUGAGUGUGUUUGAGGUAGGCGGAAUGCGUGGUGUAGCGGUGAAAUGCAUAGAUAUCACGCAGAACUCCGAUUGCGAAGGCAGCUUACUAAGCCAUAACUGACACUGAAGCACGAAAGCGUGGGGAUCAAACAGGAUUAGAUACCCUUGUAGUC
rnacentral:rRNA from 1 species